AACUCCGACCGGAGACGGAAGGAGUGCUUUUAUUAGAUCAAAACCAAUCGGUGGCGGGUUCGCUCGUCAUCGUACAACUUGGUGACUCUGAAUAACUUUAUGCUGAUCGCACGGUCUCGCACCGGCGACGCAUCUUUCAAAUGUCUGCCUUAUCAACUGUCGAUGGUAGGUUCUGCGCCUACCAUGGUUGUAACGGGUAACGGGGAAUCAGGGUUCGAUUCCGGAGAGGGAGCCUGAGAAACGGCUACCACAUCCAAGGAAGGCAGCAGGCGCGCAAAUUACCCACUCCCGGCACGGGGAGGUAGUGACGAAAAAUAACGAUACGGGACUCAUCCGAGGCCCCGUAAUCGGAAUGAGUACACUCUAAACCCUUUAACGAGGAUCAAUUGGAGGGCAAGUCUGGUGCCAGCAGCCGCGGUAAUUCCAGCUCCAAUAGCGUAUAUUAAAGUUGUUGCGGUUAAAAAGCUCGUAGUCGAAUCUGUGUCUUGCGCCGCCGGUUCAUCGUUCGCGGUGUUAACUGGCGUGUCGCAGGACGUCCUGCCGGUGGGCUUAGCCCGCAAGGGCGGCCCAACUCAAUCCUGCCGCGGUGCUCUUCACUGAGUGUCGAGGUGGGCCGGCACGUUUACUUUGAACAAAUUAGAGUGCUUAAAGCAGGCUAAAACUUCGCCUGAAUACUGUGUGCAUGGAAUAAUGGAAUAGGACCUCGGUUCUAUUUUGUUGGUUUUCGGAACCCCGAGGUAAUGAUUAAUAGGAACGGAUGGGGGCAUUCGUAUUGCGACGUUAGAGGUGAAAUUCUUGGAUCGUCGCAAGACGGACAGAAGCGAAAGCAUUUGCCAAAAACGCUUUCAUUGAUCAAGAACGAAAGUUAGAGGUUCGAAGGCGAUCAGAUACCGCCCUAGUUCUAACCAUAAACGAUGCCAGCUAGCGAUCCGUCGACGUUCCUCCGAUGACUCGACGGGCAGCUUCCGGGAAACCAAAGCUUUUGGGUUCCGGGGGAAGUAUGGUUGCAAAGCUGAAACUUAAAGGAAUUGACGGAAGGGCACCACCAGGAGUGGAGCCUGCGGCUUAAUUUGACUCAACACGGGAAACCUCACCAGGCCCGGACACCGGAAGGAUUGACAGAUUGAGAGCUCUUUCUUGAUUCGGUGGGUGGUGGUGCAUGGCCGUUCUUAGUUGGUGGAGCGAUUUGUCUGGUUAAUUCCGAUAACGAACGAGACUCUAGCCUGCUAACUAGGCGUAUUUUGACAUCGCAAAGGCCCGCCGGUAUCGGGGUUCGCUCCUUUAUCGUGCGCGGUUUUUACUGUCGGCGUACAAACAAUUCUUCUUAGAGGGACAGGCGGCUUCUAGCCGCACGAGAUUGAGCAAUAACAGGUCUGUGAUGCCCUUAGAUGUUCUGGGCCGCACGCGCGCUACACUGAAGGAAUCAGCGUGUCCUCCCUGGCCGAGUGGCCC
rnacentral:rRNA from 1 species